rnacentral:rRNA from 1 species
GAUGAACGCUGGCGGCGUGCCUAAUACAUGCAAGUCGAGCGAACAGACGAGCAUCUUGCUCCUCUUACGUUAGCGGCGGAUGGGGGAGUAACACGUGGCUAACCUACCUUUAAGACUGGGAUAACUUCUGGAAACCGGAGCUAAUACCGGAUACUAUAUUGAACCGCAUGGUUCAAUAGUGAAAGACGGUUUUGCUUUCACUUAUAGAUGGAUCCGCGCCGCAUUAGCUACUUGGUAAGGGAACGGCUUACCAAGGCAACGGUGCGUAGCCGACCUGAGAGGGUGAUCGGCCACACUGGAACUGAGACACGGUCCAGACUCAUACGGGAGGCAGCAGUAGGGAAUCUUCCGCAAUGGGCGAAAGCCUGACGGAGCAACGCCGCGUGAGUGAUGAAGGUCUUCGGAUCGUAAAACUCUGUUAUUAGGGAAGAACAAAUGUGUAAGUGACUAUGCACGUCUUGACGGUACCUAAUCAGAAAGCCACGGCUAACUACGUG